rnacentral:rRNA from 1 species
ACGAACGCUGGCGGCAUGCCUAACACAUGCAAGUCGAACGAGACCUUCGGGUCUAGUGGCGCACGGGUGCGUAACGCGUGGGAACCUGCCCUUAGGUUCGGAAUAACUCCCCGAAAGGGGUGCUAAUACCGGAUAAUGUCUUCGGACCAAAGAUUUAUCGCCUUUGGAUGGGCCCGCGUUGGAUUAGCUAGUUGGUAGGGUAAAAGCCUACCAAGGCGACGAUCCAUAGCUGGUCUGAGAGGAUGAUCAGCCACACUGGGACUGAGACACGGCCCAGACUCCUACGGGAGGCAGCAGUGGGGAAUAUUGGACAAUGGGCGAAAGCCUGAUCCAGCAAUGCCGCGUGAGUGAUGAAGGCCUUAGGGUUGUAAAGCUCUUUUACCCGGGGUGAUAAUGACAGUACCGGGAGAAUAAGCUCCGGCUAACUCCGUG